rnacentral:rRNA from 1 species
CCUACGGGAGGCAGCAGUGGGGAAUAUUGGACAAUGGGCGAAAGCCUGAUCCAGCCAUGCCGCGUGUGUGAAGAAGGCCUUCGGGUUGUAAAGCACUUUCAGUGGGGAAGAAAGCCUUGGGGCUAAUACCCUCGAGGAAGGACAUCACCCACAGAAGAAGCACCGGCUAACUCCGUGCCAGCAGCCGCGGUAAUACGGAGGGUGCGAGCGUUAAUCGGAAUUACUGGGCGUAAAGCGCGCGUAGGUGGUCUGAUAAGCCGGUUGUGAAAGCCCCGGGCUCAACCUGGGAACGGCAUCCGGAACUGUCAGGCUAGAGUGCAGGAGAGGAAGGUAGAAUUCCCGGUGUAGCGGUGAAAUGCGUAGAGAUCGGGAGGAAUACCAGUGGCGAAGGCGGCCUUCUGGACUGACACUGACGCUGAGGUGCGAAAGCGUGGGUAGCAAACAGGAUUAGAUACCCUGGUAGUC